rnacentral:ncRNA from 1 species
CUCUGAUUUAGCAAAUAAUUCAGGGCAAAGGAG